AUCAAAAAAUAAUUUAUUAAGCCAACAUACCAACAAGAAGUCAUCAAACCGAAAGGGCAACAUUUUAACAAUAAUUAAUUAACUAAUUUACCGACAAGACAAAUUAGCGCUUGUCUGGAGGAGAUUAUGAGUGGAUUUUUAUUACUUUUCCUACCGUUUCAAUGUGUGUUGAGGAAGCACCUGCAAUUUCAAAAUCAAUCCAGCCGUCGCAAUUGUUGAACAAAUUGAAGUUCAAAUAUAUUUUAAUAUUUAAAUAACUGAAAUUGCCCUUUAGUACUUCUUAAAAUUUUUGGGCUAGGGGGCAUUAUUGGUAAAUCAAUCUGUAAAAGUUAUGAUAGUUUCCUUUUUGUCAAAAAUUGCGGCUGCUUCCGUGGGUCAUCAAUUGAGGCUGCUUCCACAGGUCAUCAAUUAAGGCUGCAUCUUUGGUUCAACGUCCAAUGGUCGGAAAAUUGCUAAAAUUUUUUGCCAAGUGCUUAGAUAAGUAGACAAUAUUCAAUUUCAAUAUUUGCCCGGCAAGGCGAUAAGUUGAUAGAUGAGGUCAUUUACUUAAUAUGGUGUAUUCAAGCUUUUGCUUUUCCUACAUAUUUGCGGGACUAUGUAUGUGCUUUGAAAUAUUAACACUUUCGGAAUUCGAAAAUAAUUCAAUAAAGCCUUAAGCCUGUUGACAAUCAAGAGGAAUUUCAAUAUUCGAUGCUACCUUAAGAGCCAAAUUUAUAUUAAUCAAUGACAUUUUGAUUGUGCAAAAAUGACUUUUGAAAUGACCAAUUCUUCAUAUCAUAACUUUUUAAAAAAAUGAAAUCAUCAAACGAAAGUUCAUAAAAAUCAAGAAUUGAUACACCAAUUAGAAGAAAAAGC
rnacentral:lncRNA from 1 species